rnacentral:rRNA from 1 species
AGUGAACGCUGGCGGUAGGCCUAACACAUGCAAGUCGAACGGCGGCACAGUAAGAGCUUGCUCUUACGGGUGGCGAGUGGCGGACGGGUGAGGAAUACAUAGGAAUCUACUUUUUCGUGGGGGAUAACGUAGGGAAACUUACGCUAAUACCGCAUACGACCUACGGGUGAAAGCAGGGGAACUUCGGACCUUGCGCGAUUGAAUGAGCCGAUGUCGGAUUAGCUAGUUGGCGGGGUAAAGGCCCACCAAGGCGACGAUCCGUAGCAGGUCUGAGAGGAUGAUCAGCCACACUGGAACUGAGACACGGUCCAGACUCCUACGGGAGGCAGCAGUGGGGAAUAUUGGACAAUGGGCGAAAGCCUGAUCCAGCAAUACCGCGUGGGUGAUGAAGGCCUUCGGGUUGUAAAGCCCUUUUGUUGGGAAAGAAAAGCAGCAGGUUAAUACGCCGCUGUUCUGACGGUACCCAAAGAAUAAGCACCGGCUAACUUCGUG